UACGGAGGAUGCGAGCGUUAUCCGGAUUUAUUGGGUUUAAAGGGUGCGUAGGCGGAUCGUUAAGUCAGUGGUCAAAUUGAGGGGCUCAACCCCUUCCCGCCAUUGAAACUGGCGAUCUUGAGUGGAAGAGAAGUAUGCGGAAUGCGUGGUGUAGCGGUGAAAUGCAUAGAUAUCACGCAGAACCCCGAUUGCGAAGGCAGCAUGCCGGCUUCCUACUGACGCCGAAGCACGAAAGCGUGGGGAUCGAACAGG
rnacentral:rRNA from 1 species